rnacentral:rRNA from 1 species
UACGUAGGGGGCAAGCGUUGUCCGGAAUCAUUGGGCGUAAAGCGCGUGUAGGCGGCUUGGUAAGUCCGCUCUGAAAGCCCGGGGCUCAACCCCGGGAGGCGGGUGGAUACUGUCAAGCUCGAGUCCGGAAGAGGCGAGUGGAAUUCCUGGUGUAGCGGUGAAAUGCGCAGAUAUCAGGAGGAACACCAAUGGCGAAGGCAGCUCGCUGGGACGUGACUGACGCUGAUGCGCGAAAGCCAGGGGAGCGAACGGG